rnacentral:misc_RNA from 1 species
UUCCUUGAGCAAAAGAUUGCCUAGACCAAUUAAAGGGACCACCAAGUCUUCACUCUCUACACCUCUGCUUGAUUCUAAAAUAGUUAUUGCACGUUGGUAAAUCUCUAUGGCUUUUGUCACUCUUCCAAUUGAAACAAGAACUUUUGCCAUCCCCAAAAAUGGUGAGACAAGAAAAAUACUACUUUUCCCAUAUUUGCUUUCUAG